rnacentral:snoRNA from 1 species
GUCUCGUUCGUCUGAAUUCUAUUGAAGAAAUCACAUAACGGAAGCCUGAUU